UACGUAGGGUGCGAGCGUUUAAUCGGAAUUACUGGGCGUAAAGCGUGCGCAGGCGGUUCGUUGUGUCGGCGGUGAAAGCCCCGGGCUUAACCUGGGAAUGGCCGUUGAAACUGGCGAACUGGAGUGUGGCAGAGGGGGGUGGAAUUCCGCGUGUAGCAGUGAAAUGCGUAGAGAUGCGGAGGAACACCGAUGGCGAAGGCAGCCCCCUGGGCUGACACUGACGCCUCAGGCAC
rnacentral:rRNA from 1 species